UACGUAGGGUGCGAGCGUUAAUCGGAAUUACUGGGCGUAAAGCGUGCGCAGGCGGUUUGUUAAGCCAGAUGUGAAAGCCCCGGGCUCAACCUGGGAACUGCGUUUGGUACUGGCAAGCUAGAGUACGGCAGAGGGGGGUGGAAUUCCACGUGUAGCAGUGAAAUGCGUAGAGAUGUGGAGGAACACCGAUGGCGAAGGCAGCCCCCUGGGCCGAUACUGACGCUGAGACGCGAAAGCGUGGGUAGCAAACGGG
rnacentral:rRNA from 1 species